rnacentral:tRNA from 1 species
GCCCAAAUAGCACAGUGGUUCAGAGCACUGGUCUCGUAAACCAGGGAUCGUGAAUUCGAAUCUCACUUGGGGCA